AUAUACUACAACAGCACAACCUUACCGCUGUCCCUGUCUCCCACGAAACCCCAAACACCAUAAAAUCCCCAAUUCUCAAUAAAUCCUCUCUUAUUGCAAUUGCAUCAAUCUCCCCGUCUGUACCUCCAUUAGCCAUGGACGCUCAGAGAGCUCUGCUAGACGAGCUUAUGGGUACAGCUCGUAAUUUGACGGAUGAAGAGAGAAAGGGUUACAAGGAAAUUACCUGGGACAGUAAGGAGGUUUGCGCUUGCUAUAUGGUUCGGUUUUGUCCGCACGAUCUCUUCGUCAAUACGAGGAGCGAUCUGGGACCAUGCCCUAGAAUACAUGAUCAAAAGUUGAAAGAAAGUUUUGAGAAGUCCCCAAGACACGAAGCAUAUGUGCCAAAAUUUGAAGCUGAACUAGCUCAGUUUUGCGAAAAAUUGGUGAUGGACUUGGAUAGAAGAGUUAGGCGGGGGCGAGAACGCCUUGCUCAAGAGGUGGAACCCACCCCAGGACCUCCCUUAUCAGCUGAAAAAUCUGAACAGUUUUCCGUGCUGGAAGAAAAAAUAAAGAACCUGCUGGAACAAGUGGAGGCCCUUGGUGAAGCUGGGAAGGUGGAUGAAGCUGAAGCACUCAUGAGAAAGGUGGAGGUGCUUAAUGCGGAGAAGACAGCCUUGACCCAACAACCUCAGAAUGAUAAGAUGUUGAUGCUUGCUCAGGAGAAAAAGAUGGCUCUCUGUGAGGUCUGUGGUUCUUUUCUUGUAGCAAAUGAUGCGGCUGAGAGAACCCAGUCUCACAUCACAGGGAAGCAGCACAUUGGUUAUGGCAUGGUCCGGGAUUUCAUCGCUGAGUACAAGGAUGCUAAGGAGAAGGCAAGGGAAGAGGAAAAAUUAGCUAGGGAGAAAGAAGCAGAGGAUCGAAGGAAGCAAAGGGAGAAGGAUAAUGAGAGGAGGAGAAGUGAUUCAGGUGACAGGGACAAGAAUCAUGAUCGUGAUCGAGAUAGGGAGCAAGUUAGAUACCGAGAACGAGACAGAGAUCGUGAAAGGUCUAGAGACUGGAAUGCUAGAGGUAAUCGGGAUGGAGGAAGAGGGGAUUGGAGGUUCAGGAAUGGAAGAGAUGGAGGCAGGGAUAGGUACCGUGAUCGGAGCAGGUCACGUUCACCUGAUAGGCAUGGUCACAGAAGGUCACCUAGAAGUCCAGUUCGUCCGUAUUAGUGGAUUGUGUCGAUAGAUUUCUGAGCUUUAAAAUUAAAUGAGGUAGAUUUUUUUUUCUUGAAACUUCUAUGAACAUGUGUUUGAGUCUCAAGUUAUCUUGUCAUUGUGGGUGAAAUUUUCUUUUCCUAUCUCACAGCUUUGUUGAUACUAUACCAUCUACCUUUGUUGAGACUAUAACGUCUCCAUUUCAUCAAUUUUUUAAAUGGAGAAAAGGGUUGAGGUAGGUAUAACUUCAUUGUGGUAACUCUUUUCAUAAUCUAUUUUAGGCUUUGGUGGAAUUCUUUAUAUGUGUUGUCUGUAUCUGAAACAAUGUUUUCAGAGACUCUUAUUAUUUGGGAGCCAUAUUGGGCUAUUUACUUUGUUCUCAGUAUUUUAAGUGGUCAGACUCGAAAAUUAUUUGCAUGAUUGACACUGCUGCUGAGAGAGAUGAUGGUGUUUUUCUCAUUUUUGAGGUAACAAUUAGACCUGUUUCUAUCAUCGCAGCUCCCAUAGAUUGAUAUUUCCUUGUCAGAUUUUCUUUCCCCUUAUUUUUCUGGUUGUUAAGUUGACUUAACCCUUAUUAUCCUAUGUUUGACCUCAAAGAACUCUACCAAUUUGGAAAAGUUUGGAUCAUUUACUCGUGCCUUUAAGGUAAUCACUUGCAGACUGUCUUAGACAUGGUUCAUAAAUAUGAUUUGCAGUAGUCUUUCCUCCUUUUUGUAAUUUUCUACAAGUUAGGAAGGCUAAUUUUUUUUCUCCUAUACUCCUGCCAUCGCUACUUUAAUUUGUGGAUCCAAAUGAUUAUAAGGUGCUUGCAGUGUGCCAUGAAUGGGCGGGCAGUUGUUAAUUGGCAAUAGACAUAAGUGGGAUGGUAAUCAAUAAAUUAUAUUCUUAUGCGGAAAUUUAUUACUCGUUUUACAGAGUUGGGGUUAGUUUUGGAGUUAUCAGGAUCAGACAGGUAUAGGUAAUUACUUUGUCUUUGCAGAGUUAUUCUUUAGCAGAAAUGUUAUUCCACUUGCAUGAAAAUCUACUUCAGUGGGCUGGGAUUCAAGGUUACUCCUUUUGGCAAACAUUAAACUUGCAAUUUUGUGGGUGCCUGGAGGUAACCGAAAAUUAUAAUCUGUAGAGUAGUUUGUUUCUAUUUAGUUUGCAGGAAACGGCAGGUAAUCUGGUGAACCUUGAUGGUCAGAUUGCUGCUAGUAAGUAGAUAUUUUAUGCUGAGGAGUGGUUUGUGCAGGAAAAUAAACUUACAAAUAGUUGCUGCUUGUGGAACUACUAAUAUUCAAAGAACACAAGAAAUGAGAAACCGAAUGUAACUACAUUUGGAUUGGAGGACCGCCGGUGUGACCCUUAUCUGCAUUUGACAAUUGAAAACAUUAUUAGGUACCUGUUUAUGAGAGAUCUGCUACUUAGGAAUAAAGACGUGUAUCAUCAAAAGGAGCUCGCGUGGAUGGUAUAUAUUAUGAACAGGUAGUCAUGUUUUGAUUGAAAUUUAAAAGAAACCCUGCCCUCAUUGAUAUCUGACCAUAUAUUUGGAUCUCUGUUAUUUAUUUAAAAAAACCCUUAUAAUUUCUUAGAUCCAAACGGUAGAAGUUUGCAUAAGAUCUAUUCCUCCUACUCCUCAAACCCGUCCACUUAAAAUGAAUGAGAUGUAAGCUAUAUGUAGACUGAUUCCUAUACCCAGAGCAUAAACAGAAACUCUGAGCAUGGAUACACUAUUCUAUUCAUUGAAUCAUUUUGUUGUCAA